GUAAACGGCGGCCGUAACUAUAACGGUCCUAAGGUAGCGAAAUUCCUUGUCGGGUAAGUUCCGACCCGCACGAAUGGUGUAACGAUCUGGGCACUGUCUCAACUACCCACCCGGCGAAAUUGUAGUACCGGUGAAGAUGCCGGUUACCUGCGGCAAGACGGAAAGACCCCAUGGAGCUUUACUGUAGCCUGAUAUUGGGUUUCGGAAAUCUAUGUACAGGAUAGGCGGGAGACUAGGAAACAUGAGCGUCAGCUUGUGUGGAGUCGAUGUUGGGAUACCGCCCUUAGGUUUCUGGAAUUCUAACCUGCGGCCGUGAAUCCGGUCGGGGGACAUUGUCAGGUGGGCAGUUUGACUGGGGCGGUCGCCUCCGAAAAGGUAACGGAGGCGCUCAAAGGUUAGCUCAGCACGGACGGAAACCGUGCCUCUGAGUGUAAACGCAAAAGCUAGCCUAACUGCGAGGGUGACGGCCCGAGCAGUAACGAAAGUUGGAGUUAGUGAUCCGGCGGUAUGUGAAUGGAAAUGCCGUCGCUCAACGGAUAAAAGCUACCCUGGGGAUAACAGGCUGAUCUCCCCCAAGAGUCCACAUCGACGGGGAGGUUUGGCACCUCGAUGUCGGCUCAUCACAUCCUGGGGCUGUAUUCGGUCCCAAGGGUUCGGCUGUUCGCCGAUUAAAGUGGUACGCGAGCUGGGUUCAGAACGUCGCGAGACAGUUCGGUCCCUAUCUGUCGUGGGCGCAGGAUAUUUGAGGAGCUCUGUCCUUAGUACGAGAGGACCGGGAUGGACGUACCUCUGGUGCACCAGUUGUCAUGCCAAUGGCACGGCUGGGCAGCUAUGUACGGAACGGAUAAACGCUGAAAGCAUCUAAGCGUGAAGCCGACUCCAAGAUUAGAUAUCCCAUCGUAUAACGAGUAAGACCCCUUGAAGACUACGAGGUUGAUAGGCUGCGUGUGUAAGUGCCGUGAGGCAUUCAGCUUGGCAGUACUAAUAGGUCGAGGGCUUGACCAC
rnacentral:rRNA from 1 species